rnacentral:rRNA from 1 species
AUGGCCUCCUUCCUCGCCGCCCGCCGCCUCCUCUCCACCGCCGCCGCCCGGCGCCUCCUCCCAUGCACUUCCCCGCCGCCUCCUGCCACCGCUGCUCUCUGCUGGCUGUCCACUGACGCCUCGCCCCCACCGCCUCUUCCCGCCCCCCCUCUGGAGCCCGCGGUCGACCCUCCCAAGAAGGAUGGAGCCUCCUUCUCCGCCGGUUCCGGCGCUGGAGGGGCCUACCGGACUGGAAAGGGAGCUGCAUCGGGGGGUCGCCGAUCUGGUGGCGCGGGGUACGAGGAGGAGCAGCAGAAGGUCCUCCGCGCGUCGCUUCUCCACGUGGUUCCGAGGAUGGGAUGGAGCGAGUCGGCCAUGAUCGCGGGUGCGAGGGACGUGUCCGUGUCGCCGGCCAUCGUCGGUGCCUUCCCAAGGAAGGAGGCUGCGCUAGUUGAGUUUUUCAUGGAUGACUGCCUUCAACAACUCAUGGAUCGCGUUGAUGCUGGUGAGGGAGAGCUUUUGAAAAACUUGAUGCUCACUGAGAGACUAUCUAGACUUGUUCGGAUGAGGCUUGAGAUGCAGACACCUUACAUAUCAAAGUGGCCUCAAGCGCUGAGCAUUCAGUCCCAACCAGCAAAUGUCUCAACAAGCUUAAAGCAGAGAGCAGUCCUUGUUGAUGAGAUUUGGCAUGCUGCUGGAGAUUCUGGAUCAGAUAUUGAUUGGUAUGUGAAACGUACUGUGCUUGGUGGCAUCUACUCAGCCUCAGAGGUGUACAUGUUAACAGAUAAUUCUCCAGAGUUUCACGACACAUGGACAUUUGUGAAUCGCCGCAUCAAAGAUGCUCUUGAUUUGCAGAAAUCUUAUAAGGAGGUCGCUUAUCUAACUGAAACCCUGGGAGCAGGGAUCGGUGGCUCCAUACAGGGCGUCCUGAACAAGGUUUUCCAGAAAUGA